GACGAACGCUGGCGGCGUGCUUAACACAUGCAAGUCGAACGGAAAGGCCCUGCUUUUGUGGGGUGCUCGAGUGGCGAACGGGUGAGUAACACGUGAGUAACCUGCCCUUUACUUUGGGAUAACUUCAGGAAACUGGGGCUAAUACCGGAUAGGAGCUCCUGCUCCAUGGUGGUGGUUGGAAAGUUUCGGCGGUUGGGGAUGGACUCGCGGCUUAUCAGCUUGUUUGUGGGGUAGUGGCUUACCAAGGCUUUGACGGGUAGCCGGCCUGAGAGGGUGACCGGCCACAUUGGGACUGAGAUACGGACCAGAGUCCUACGGGAGGCAGCAGUGGGGAAUAUUGCAGAAUGGGCGGAAGCCUGAUGCAGCAGCGCCGCGUGCGGGAUGACGGCCUUCGGGUUGUAAACCGCUUUCGCCUGUGACGAAGCGUGAGUGACGGUAAUGUGUAAAGAAGCACCGGCUAACUACGUG
rnacentral:rRNA from 1 species